GUCCCUGAAGCGCAAUGGAAAGCGCAUUGAACUUCUAAUUCAAAAGUCAUGGGUUAGAAUCCCACCUGGGAUA
rnacentral:tRNA from 1 species